rnacentral:tRNA from 1 species
GCCGGGUGGCUCAGUUGGUUAAGCAUCUGACUUUGACUCAGGUCGUAAUCUCACGGUUUGUGGGUUCGAGCCCCACAUCGGGCU